ACCUUUUUAUUCUUUGCUAGGCUGAGACUCACUUGCAGGCAGCGUGACUGAGCCGGCAAUCUUGAAACUGCUUUUGUCCCUGCAAUGCAUCCUGGCCAGUGACAUUAAUGAAAACUGAGGAACCUCAGCUGGAGUGAAAGUUUAAACUUUUCUUUUAAAUUCUUGAAAAAUCCAUCAAGAACAUAUAUAUGAGGGAAAAAAUUAUGGGUUGUGGAGCAGGGAGGCCGGUGUGCAUGAAAUCAGAUAAACCUAAACUUCCAUACGCUCAUAAAAUUCUGUUAUUUAUUAAUUAGCUUUAUCCACAAUUCCUCCUGGAAAAUUUAAAAAGCCAGUGUCCAGAGAAGAAAGUGAAAAGAAUUGUUGAGGGAUCAUCAGGAGUCAGGUUGUUUCCCUGAGCAGUUUCGAGUCCUCGGUGAGCCGUAAGUACCCUAGUGCACGUGAGCUCUGCUGCUGCUGUGAGGCACGGUGGGAGGCGGUCAGGGCCUUACUGGAGCUUUUUUCUUUUAGAACAAUGACAUUUCCAUCCGAAGCUUCCUUCAGCUAUGUGAAUGCAUGGUUUCGCAGGGAGAAUGUCUAACUCGAUAUGACGGACAGGCUGCUCUUGGGCAUGGAGAACAGAGAUUGGAAACAAGCGAGCAAGCCCGUGUGAUUUGUUUUAUUAAUUGCUGCCAUCUCACGUUUGUUCUGAGACAGUUCACUCUAUUUCUUUCUACUUUAGCUUCUCCAGCAUGGAGAUGUGUCAGUAUUCUGUGCAGCAACAUUCUCAUGGAACAGAGAGAGCCAACAGAUCUUCUGAUCUCUUUCACCACAUUUCCCACCGCUUCCCCACCCCUCUGUAUUUGACGUGUCACGCGUGGGGCUUGCUGACUUGUGUCUCUGUCUCUGCGCACACACUGUCUUCUCACUGACGCGUGCUGCCUGGAUCGCUCAUUUCAUGACCUUAUGCAGAGAGAUCCUGUUCCAGGAAGGCUUCCAGGACAAUCACUCUCCUGUACCCCUCGGCAGACUAUGGUACAGAACAGGCACAGCUCAGAGCUUGGAGAAGGUUAUUGCCGUGAGUCUGGAGAGAGACUGGCGCUGUGAAUUGGUGCGAAGCCCUGACUCGUCUCCCCACACUCUGUGUGCUGUCACUGGGGCCUAGGAGCAAUGUCAGAUGAAGCAAAUGGGGACACAGAAUCAUGCUCAUUUUAUGAACUUGGCAGAGAUUUUAUCCUUCAUUCGUGAUACCAUUCCACACUGCAAUUCUGCUGUCUUGGCACUUUGGGGGCUCCUCUCUACUUUAAGAUAAAGUUCAGAUUCCUUAGCCCAAGGGACAGAGCCCUUCCUGAUCUGGCCAGGACUCCCUACCCUUUCCUUUAGUUAUGUCCCUCUGCUGCAUCCACAUCCAUCCGCCUGUUGUUUGGGCUCACCCGAAAUAACUGCUACUUGUCCUUUAAAGUUAAGUUCAGAUGAAGCAUCACUUCUUCUUGGCUCUUGGAUGGGUUUUUCUGGGAUCUUCCAGGUUGGGUCAAGCAUUCCUCUGCACCCCUUUAAAUGCCUUGUGGCUCUUUCCUUAGAGCACUUCCUGCUUUGUCUGAUCCUGACCUUUCUUAUCUCAUUCACCAUAUUGUGAGCUUCCUAAGAGCAGACCCUUUCUUCAGCUAUCUCCAGCACCCAGCAAAGUGCCCGACACGUGGUAAUUCCUCAACUAGUGUUUGAGUGAAUAAAUGAUCUGUUGCAUUACCUGGGAAUUAAAACUAAUGAAUAUGAAGAGAGGCAAGAAAAGAUAAGAGGUUGUCUCUGAGCUCACCUCCGAAAGAAAUCCGAAUUUUAACACUAUUCAGUGACCCCUGGGAGAGAAAAGAGUCAGGAAAAUAUGCCACCUGCCUGUGAUUGAUGAAGGCUGGAAAUAUGUCAACAUGUGACUCAGGUAGUCCUGAGAAUAUAAAGCCUUGAGAAAGGUCAGGCGUACUUGUCAGGAAGAGCUUGAGUUAAAAAUUAUUAUUAAACAAACAUCGAGGGAGAACUGUCUUCAGUAAGAAAUAAUGCCCUAAGAAUGUUAAGGAUUCAGAACAAAUAAAUCUAGAUAAAGAAGAGAUUGUGUCAAAAGGAACGUGUUUUUGUUAGCUGAAAAGUUAAGGAUGAUUCAUAGCUCCCCUGGGUUAGAAAGUACAGUAGGUAAAUCAGCGACAUGGUAGCAAAGAAUCUACACCUGGCUUCCACGCUGUGCUUCUAGCUCAAGGGAAAGAAAAGUAUUUCAUGCUGUACGACAGCAGGUGUGCCACAUGGCCAUUAGGUUGGUAAGGUCUCUGGGAGUAUCAGUGUAUAGAGCUCUUUCCAAGUUGGUGAUGGUGACCACUAGCAGCCUGAAGCUGUAUCACAGAGCACCCUUGUGUCUCCCCCGAAAUGCGGGGUUACCUUAUGGAUGUGCUGGGUUGAAUAAGGACACCUGCAACCAGUUAGAUUCUGGUGUUCUCAGUUUAGCCCCACCCUGCUCCGGGAGGAUUAAUGAUGGAAAAAACCCGAAGGGCACAGAACUGAACGCUCGAUAAUAUUUCAGUGAAACUUUUCUAUGGUAAAUAAGCAUUGGAAAGAGGCCCAAUUCAGGACCUUGGACCCUGGUGCAAUGAGCUUGGAAUCAAGGUGGCAUUAUAAAUUCUUGUCACUACCUCUCUGUAGUGAACUGGCAAGAACUUUCCUGAUAGAGAGUCGUUGGGUUUGGGGGUUCUCAACAGACCUAUUUUAUAAAUGAACAAACGUGUCUUUUUGUCUGCAAAGAUCUCACUGGGCCAGUCAGGCUCAGAUAGGCAUGUGCUUUCCAGGAGGCUAAGGCUGCUAGAUCAGAAUAGGGCCGUCCGGGCCUCCGAGCGGCUGUUUUGAGGACCCCUGGAGACCCAGCUUAUUCUCUGAACUAGUCUUGAGAGUGGCACUCUUUGCCUGGCCUCUUGGGUUCCCUCAUCUAGCAUAAUUCGAGUAUUUCCCACCCCAAACCACAUCACUACAGGGACAGGUCAGUAGGUGGCAAAGAGAUCCCAAGCUGACCAAAGUCAUUUUCUAGAUUGAUUAGCCUUGCUUGCUUAGGUUUUCUGAAUAAGCGUAAGUUUAUAGUCUAAGAAUAUAAUGCCACUUCUGAGUGUGUGAACUCAGAAGGCGAUAAGGAUUUCAGAGGGCAAAAUUACAAAUAGCUACCGGCCAGAGCUCCCGUACUUGGAGGGCCGUGCAACUUUGCUUUGGUGGUAGCUGGUGGCUGCAUAGUCGUCCAGGGGGUCUGCAUAGGAGGAGACGGAAGUGGAUUCUCCAACUGGGGCUAAAUAAAUAAAUAAGAAGACCUGUGGUUUAUGUACGUAUUCAGUAUGGCAGCACAGUAAUACUGGCUUCACCAACUAGGCAGUAAAAUGGGUACCUUUAUUUUGUAGUCAUGUCUCAACGUAUCUACACAAAAUCCCCACCAUCCUUCCCCCAAGAUCAUGACUAUCCUCGUCAACCAAACCAAGUAGGCAUUAUGGCCCCUCUUUACUGCCUCUUCCUCCUUCCCCCGUUUGUGGCUCCUUCUUGACAACCCUCAAAGUUCAUUUCAUUGUAACGAAACCUUGAUCUAAAGAUUGGGAUGAGGCAUAGUGUGACCUUCCAUGACAGGAAGAAAAGAAUGAAAAAUUACCCUUCAAGUAAAACCAGUCCACAGGCUCACACUGUAAGGGAACAAGGGUUAUGCUUUUUUGUGGGCAACUGUCAACCUUGCUGGUUGGAUGGUCUCCUAGAGUCAGGGUCCAGCACAGGGCCACCCCUAGAACAGGAGGAGAGUUCCUUGUUCCUUUAUCUGUUCCACCAAGAUAGUCUCUUCAUCCCCCUGAAGGCUCAGGAUACCUCUUCCUGUUUCUCUCUCGGGUUCUCAGGAACUGGCAGUUACCAGAUUUUGUCAGUUAAUUUACUUAAUUUAUUCUUUAUGCUUCGCUGAGCCCUGGCAGGUUGGGAAGUAAGCGGUCGGUUCUUCUAGAAUUGAGCCUGCUGACGUUGUGAAAUAGCCUAGGGCAGCCCUGGUACUGGCUACUAGGAAGAGGCACCUGGAGUUCUCUCCCUCUGAGGUCGGGACAACCUCCAGCAGACCUGUCUCCCCCUUUCUUUCAAACAGGAAGAUGAAGCUGGAGAUGAGGCUCGGUAUGAAAAUGAAUACCCUGAGAAAGCAUAGCAGGAUGCCGCCUUCCGUCCUCGGUCCCCAAGCACUGCUUUGAAAAUAGAGUGUUGCUGGCCUAGACUGUUGGGUUUCCUGCCACAUUUUGGCAUCUGCAGCGCCAUGGAGACGGAAAUGGUAGAGAUACGCUCUGCAGGAGGAAAUCAAGCGAGUGACCAGAGAAACCCGUCACGCUUUCCUGAGGGAAGAGAGAGGUGUGAAGCGGGGAUGUCCUGCGGGCGGCACCGCAGAGCCAUCCUUCUGCUCUGAGAGUUCUCAUGGCUUUACCCACAUCCACCAUCCGUGGACCAGACUUGCUGGUGACGAGUGACCUUCUAAACUCAUUGACCCAGAGCCUACAGUGACCGACCGGACUUUGAAAGUUCUGAUGGUUGCCACUGGGGCAUCAGCUGGCUGGCAUAAGAGGGGCUGACAGGACCUUGUCUGAGGGACGUCACCUGGUGGUUCUGCCUCCUGCUGCCCCCUCACUCCCAUCACGUUUCAGCGGCCACCUGACUGGGCUACUCGCAGCACGUGUAAGACCGGGCCAGAUCCCCUCCGCUGCAUUUCACACGGGGCCGGGCCCAGGAUGAGGAUGGGCGGGACCCGCUUCCCAACUCCUGCAGGCAGAACGGGUCCACCCAGCGUGUGGUGGGACUGCCCUCAGGACCAGGGCAUCUUCUGAGGGAUGAUGUCAGAGCCACUCGUGUGUGUCUGUGCGUGUGUACCUGAAUACGCCGGUUAUGUCUACUGCAUCUUGAUACGUUUUUAUAAUAAGAUUGUUGUUUGAUUCAAAAGUGAUAUAUGUAUUUUACAAUGGUGAAAAUUUUAAGUCACCAAUACUGUAAUAAUAUUAUUGUGGUUAUGUUAUUUUAAAGAGUCCUUAUCUUUUAGAGGUACAUAUUGAACUAUUUACAGAUAAAAAGACAUGAUGUCUGGGAUUUGUUUCAAAAUAAUCCAGUGGUGAGGAAGGAAGUAGGAGGUGCAGAUAGAUAAAAUGGUCCAUGAGAGCUGGUAAUUGUUGAAGCUGGUAAGGGGUACACGGGAAUUUAUUACCCUUUUUUCUCUACCUGUAUAUAUAUGUACAUAUAUAUACACACAUGCAUAUAUUUAUGAGUGAAAUUUUCCAUAAUCAAAAAAAAAUUUUUUUAAAGAUUUCCAUCUUCCUUUGGUACCAUACAUAUCCUUUCAUUAAACCUUCAUUCACUUAUCUGGGGAAAAAAAUCAUCAAUAAUCCCACCCCAUAUUCUUUCAGUCCUUUUUCUAUACAUAGAUACACCUGGAGAGAAAUUGUACUCUGUUGGGAUUUGUAACAAUGUGUUGAAAAUAAGACUUUAUUUAUUUGGUCAAUAUUAAUAUCUUGCAUACUCUAGUUCGGGGAUUUUAAAAUUAUGUUUUGCACUAACUUUUUGAGAAAUUUCUAAAAAAGGGGAGGUGUCUGUGGUCAGAUAAUUUGGGGAAAAGCUGCACACCAUGGGCCCUCGUGGAAACGUUUCUUAGUGCUGGGUCAUGUGCUGUCGGAGGACAGGCACUGCGUGACUGGGCCACACUGACCUGCAGGCCCAGCACCGGGCCUGUUACUAGCAAACACUCAACACAUGGUUGAUGGGUGAAAAAACAAGGACAGCCUCCGGAGUAAGGAAACUUGUUAACCUAUAUUUAAUCUAGUGUUUCCCAAACACAUUUGUCUCUGAAAGCCUUUUACUGAGGAGCACCCUUAUAUUAAUAUCCCUUGAAAUUGGUAUUUUGGGAAAUGAUCUCAAAGCAUUUUAUAAAUUGUGUUAAAACCAGUCUCACAAGGUCCCAGUGAGUUGGCAGAGAAAGGCACAGGUUUAUAGUGUAGGACUACAUGGAUCACUGGUCUUGGAAUCAAACCCAUGCUGGCACCACAUUCUCUUUCUUUUCGCCCAAACCUUCUCCCGACUGUGCAGCUGGGCUUACUCGGUGUUCAGGUGCAGGAGGAAGAAGGAAAGUGAACAGGGACUUUGGAAGGUGUGGCAUGCUCAGUGAGUGCAGGUCAGCCAGUGUCUCCUUUUUCGUCACUGUGUGUGGCAUCGUAGUUGAAGUAAGCCUAGGGAAAAGUGAACAAGCAGAUACAGACCAGAACAUCUAUACCAGGAGAAGGAAUGGGGGAAAGGACUCGGAGGAGGGGCCGGGAAUGGAGAGAGAAGUGUGGCGAAGACAACAGCCUGUUAAACUCCACAUUCUACUUCCCCUGGACUCACAGCUGGACUACAUUUCCCAGCUUCCCUGUAGUUAGGUGUGGCUAUAUGACUGGCUUCUAGCCGAUGGAGUGUGAGUGGAAGGGAUGGUCCCAUACCCGGCCUCACUCAUGAAACCUCACAAACAGUGCUCCUCCAUGCUUUUUUUCCUUAUAGCAACUAAGUGGAAAUAACCCAGUGAAUUGGGAAGUCAUGUGUUGAGAAUUGCAGGGCUUCCAUCAGCCCAAAUCCUUCAUCCCUUCCCACCAUCCUAUCUACCCAGAAACACUUAUGAGUAUUAGAUGGCCCCCAAAAUAAAUUUCUAUGUGUUUGAGCCAUUGUAUAUUGUUGAGUUAAUUUGUUACUAGCUAAAAAUAGACCACAAAAUCAAAAAACAGAAAUCUAUCCUAAAGGUAGGAUAAAAGAUGGGCCAGGGCAUAUACGUCAGAGAGGGUAGAAUUUAAAGGAAGUGUGUGUCAACAGUAAUAAUAGCUACAUCUGGGUACGAAUACCUAGAACUUAAGGCAUGAGGAGGUUGGCUGGGGGAUAGUGAACUUCCGAAAAUAAUUUUUCUUUUUGAUUAAAGGAGAAAACCAUACGAUGAAAGAUCCUUUUCUUCCUGCCUACUUCCUUUCUUCAGCUUUGGACAUUGUCAUGUGAGGAUUUAGUGCCUGGAUCUGCAGCAGCUAUUUUGUGAGAUGAGGCAAAGAGCAUGAGAAUGGAAGCUGGUGUGCUAAGAGUGGUACAGAAGGAUGAACAGAUUUUGUGUGACACUGUCAUUGAGCUACUGAACCAACCCUGGAACUACUUUUUUCUGUGCUUUUUGUUAAGAAAACAAUAAAGCCUUUCUCUUA